rnacentral:rRNA from 1 species
UACGGAGGGUGCAAGCGUUAUCCGGAUUUACUGGGUUUAAAGGGUGUGUAGGCGGACUUUUAAGUCAGGGGUGAAAUCCCGAGGCUCAACCUCGGAACUGCCUUUGAUACUAUUGGUCUUGAAUGUUGUUGAGGUGGGCGGAACGGGUCAUGUAGCGGUGAAAUGCGUAGAUAUGACAUAGAACACCUAUUGCGAAGGCAGCUCGCUACACUAUCAUUGACACUGAGGCACGAAAGCGUGGGGAUCAAACAGG